rnacentral:rRNA from 1 species
UAUGUGAUCGUCUCUCGCAUAUCAAUAAGCGGAGGAAAAGAAACUAACAAGGAUUCCCCUAGUAACGGCGAGUGAAGCGGGAAGAGCUCAAAUUUGAAAUCUUAAAGGGUUUCCCUUUACGAAUUGUAGUUUAAAGAAGUGUUUUCUGUUGAGGUUUUGGUAAAAGUUCUUUGGAAUAGGACACCAUAGAGGGUGAGAAUCCCGUAUUUGACCUUUACUUUCAACUUUGUGAUACACUUUCAAAGAGUCGGAUUGUUUGGGAAUGCAGUCCAAAAUGGGUGGUAAAUUUCAUCUAAAGCUAAAUAUUGGCGAGAGACCGAUAGCGAACAAGUACCGUGAGGGAAAGAUGAAAAGAACUUUGAAAAGAGAGUUAAACAGUACGUGAAAUUGUCAAAAGGGAAGCGUUUGACACCAGUGUUGUUUUUCUGAAAAUCAAUUAAAGAACUGUUUAUGCUAAGCUUGUUUAGACUUUAUCAGCUAACUGUUUAGUUUUGAGCUUUUCUUUAAUGCACUUUUCAGUUAAUAAGUCAACAUCAAUUUCUUUUGCUGUAAAAAAGCUUGAGGAAGGUGGCUUGAGAUUCGUCUUAAGUGUUUAUAGCCUCUUGCCUAUGCAGUCGGAGAGAUUGAGGUCUGCAGCGUAGAUCCUUCGGGGCUAAAUGCAUUUGUGCUAAGUUAUAACAUUUUAUAGACAACUUGUUGUACUAUGAUUUGUCUUGUAGCUUACUCGCUUAUGUUAUUUUACCUACGCUUAGGAUGUUGAACGCGCACAGAGUCUC